GGGGGAGGCGGGCUGUAUUCUCGUCGAGGGACACUUCCAGAGGCUGUCGGAUCCCGGUGUAGCUUUGACUCGGCUGAAACUUUCACGGCAGAUUCUAGCAGCUCGGAAAUCGAUUUUACUUUGUCCUGAAUCGCGUCGCUUCUACCUCGCUGUUUACGAAGGAAUUCAAAAGAAGCUGAUUCCCUGCUUCUUCCCCUAUCGGCCAUCGAGAAUCACAGACGCCGAAGAUGAGGUUGCGUGGCCUUCCCUGUGAAUUGAACUGCGGUUUCGUCGACCUGGUGCCCCAGAAGGAUUGCCCGUUGGCAACGCAUUUUCGAACAUGUUCAUCGUGUGACCUGACUUUUGUAAAAUAUUAUCGAUUGGAUUGUAGCCAUAUCCACUGUGAGAACUGUUUAGUCUUCCAUGACUCGCUCGAGAAGCCUCGGGUGGAAUGCACCGUAUGCAUGGAAGUUCGUCUCGCAACGAAGCAAGAGGCACCAUUAGCGGCGUUGUAUAUCGCCAGAUUCGAAUGUCCCUGUGGUGAGGAAGGUAACUUGCAUCACUUAAGCAGGCACCGAAGAUCGUGCAGACGAACGCGACGAAAACAAUUGUCUCUGGAUCUGGAUUCGUCUCAGGCUUCCACGUCAUCGUCGACCUCGUCGCAGGUCUCCAGCUCAUCAUCUGCGUCCGGCAUUGUCAAGGCUAAAAUUCCCCGCAAUGAAAUCGAAUUGCCGAAAUCGAUUGAGUUCCUUGUCAAGAGCUAUGUCGCGCACGAGGUGAGCAGAAUGAAAGAAGACAUCAUAAAUACGACACGGGAAGAAAGACAGGAUUCGGAGGUCACCAUGCAGAGAGCCGUGGACCGGAUCGAUUAUCUGGAUUCGCGACUCGAUCACUUCAGCACCCUUGAAACGAGACUGGAGAGACUGGAAACCGCCAGCAGCCUGACGCGGCCUGAUGCCGGUCUUUCGACCAGGCUCGACAAUCUUGAUCUCCAGAUGGCGGCUAUUCGAAGCGGAAAUCUCUUCAAAGCUCAUGCGAGGCAACAAUUUUUUAGACUCCAGAGCAGUUGUUCAUUCCUAUGGUUCGACAUCAAAUCGCUCCUCCGAGACUUCAAUCGUAAUCGCAGCCAGACUGCUACCAGCGACCAAGUGCUCGCCAUCGGAGGUUUCCCCUGUAAAUUGAACGUACAGAUCGAAACCCCUGAAGCGGAGAGCUCGAAGAUGCUUGUGCUCUAUCUUGGCUUGAGCGAAGAUUUGACCCUUUCGGCAAACUGGCCCAUGAGGAGGCUACUGCAGUUCAAAAUUAUCGAUACACAUGGGAACGGCGUCUUCGAGAAUUAUUUCGCAACGACCGAAGCCGCAUGCCGGGAGUACUUUAAGGGACCGGGAUCUCAGAUGUUCGGAACCUACUACGGUGUGGAUUUGUGCUCAAUCGAAGAGCUCACAGUCGAGAAUUUUUACCAGAGGAACAACGGUAUGAUAUGCUUAGGAAUCUUAGCUGGUCCCUGCAACGGCGAGCAAUAGCACUUUUCAAUUAAUUUUCGCUCACUCGUUAAGAAUAUUCCCGUCGGGAGAGAAGGAAGUAAUGCUUCGCAAGACCUCGGCCGAGUGACUCGCAACAGUUUGUUUAAGGCUAGGACAAGAACAGUAUAUUACUGCUUUUAUCCUGACGAACACCCAAAACGGGCGCGAGUCAUUGCGAAUCUGGAGCAAUGACUGAUCUGAUUCGCGUCCUAAUUUUAAUUAUGUGAGACCGAUUAAUCUUUGAUUCCAAACCAUUGUGGUAUCGAAUAGGGAGAAAAUUACUGAAAUUGUGAAAUCGGAGUCUGCUCAGUCAGAAUAAAUACCGACCUUGCGUAUUCAAGGGAUCCAUA